GACAGAGGGUGCGAACGUUGUUCGGAAUUACUGGGCGUAAAGCGCAUGUAGGCGGCAGCGCAAGUCGGGCGUGAAAUCCCACGGCUCAACCGUGGAAGUGCACUCGAAACUGCGCAGCUAGAGUCCUGGAGAGGAAGGUGGAAUGCUUGGUGUAGAGGUGAAAUUCGUAGAUAUCAAGCGGAACACCAGUGGCGAAGGACGACUACCUGGACCAGCACUGACACUGAGGCACGAAAGCGUGGGGAGCAAACAGG
rnacentral:rRNA from 1 species